CAGAUUAUACUUAGAGGUAACUUUUAUUUACAUUAAAAGUUUUAUUUGUGCAAUUCAAAUUGAUCUGA
rnacentral:tRNA from 1 species